rnacentral:rRNA from 1 species
GAUGAACGCUGGCGGCGUGCCUAAUACAUGCAAGUCGAGCGAACGGACGAGAAGCUUGCUACUCUGAUGUCAGCGGCGGACGGGUGAGUAACACGUGGAUAACCUACCUAUAAGACUGGGAUAACUUCGGGAAACCGGAGCUAAUACCGGAUAAUAUUUUGAACCGCAUGGUUCAAAAGUGAAAGACGGUCUUGCUGUCACUUAUAGAUGGAUCCGCGCUGCAUUAGCUAGUUGGUAAGGUAACGGCUUACCAAGGCAACGAUGCAUAGCCGACCUGAGAGGGUGAUCGGCCACACUGGAACUGAGACACGGUCCAGACUCCUACGGGAGGCAGCAGUAGGGAAUCUUCCGCAAUGGGCGAAAGCCUGACGGAGCAACGCCGCGUGAGUGAUGAAGGUCUUCGGAUCGUAAAACUCUGUUAUUAGGGAAGAACAUAUGUGUAAGUAACUGUGCACAUCUUGACGGUACCUAAUCAGAAAGCCACGGCUAACUACGUG